UGAAUAGCUCAGUCGGUAGAGCAAUCGGCUGUUAACCGAUCGGUCGUAGGUUCGAGUCCUACUUCA
rnacentral:tRNA from 1 species